rnacentral:rRNA from 1 species
AUUGAACGCUGGCGGCAUGCCUUACACAUGCAAGUCGAACGGUAACGGGCCUUCGGGUGCCGACGAGUGGCGAACGGGUGAGUAAAGUAUCGGAACGUACCUUUCAGUGGGGGAUAACGUAGCGAAAGUUACGCUAAUACCGCAUAUUCUGUGAGCAGGAAAGCAGGGGAUCGCAAGACCUUGCGCUGAUUGAGCGCCGAUAUCAGAUUAGCUAGUUGGUGAGGUAAAGGCUCACCAAGGCGACGAUCUGUAGCGGGUCUGAGAGGAUGAUCCGCCACACUGGAACUGAGACACGGUCCAGCCUCCUACGGGAGGCAGCAGUGGGGAAUUUUGGACAAUGGGGGCAACCCUGAUCCAGCCAUGCCGCGUGAGUGAAGAAGGCCUUCGGGUUGUAAAGCUCUUUCGGCCGGGAAGAAAUCGUAUCAGCUAAUACCUGGUGCGGAUGACGGUACCGGCAUAAGAAGCACCGGCUAACUACGUGCCAGCCGCCGCCGUAAAAC